UAGUCAGGAGCAGCUCCUUCUACUACUUCCCUACAAGAGUGCCAGCCAAGAAAGUGUAGAAUGAAUCUUGAAUAGAGCCAUGAGUCCUGGACUGCAGUUUCAGCUCUGCUAGUUCCUAGUUUUAUAACUGUCUCUUUGUCUGUUAAGUAAGGCCAAGGACCCAAGACUUACCCAUUCCACAGAGCUAACAAGUAAAUCCUGGAAGAGACAUGCUUUAUAACUGUAAAGGACAUUCCAUAUUCCACCAAGAGGAUUGAGAAAUGAUGGUUGGACAGAAGGAAUAGGAGACUCCAGAGAGUAUGAAAGUUUGGGUCCAGCUCUAAAACCAGUGGGAAUUCCCAUGAAAGAACUUAAGAGGCAGAGACAUGCAGAUAUCUAUGAGUUAGAGGCCAUUGAGUUCCUGAACCACCAAGGCUACAUAGCGAGACCCUAUUUCAAAUAAAGAAAAGACAAAAGAGGAAGGAAGAAAAGAGGACUUUGGAAUUGGUAAGGAACAAGGCCCUAAUGUAACUUCCUGCAAAGGUCAGGGCAAGGUAAAGACAUCACAAAUGCUACCAUGCCUUCUACCACAACAGCCUUCCCCUUACAACAAAUGCCCCUUCUAACCACUUGCAGCAUUCUGACUGCUACUCUCCUUACUACUAUUCCUUCUGUCAUCAGGCACCUUGAGUUAUCGGAAGUGUAUAGCCCAGGACAUAAAUGUACACCUGAAUCAUGCUA